UACGGAGGCCGCAAGCGUUGUUCGGAAUUACUGGGCGUAAUGCGCGUGUAGGAGGCUUGGAACGUCGGGUGUGAACUCCCGGAGCUCACCUCCGGAACUGCAUCCGAUACUGCCAAGCUCGAGUCUCUGAGAGGAUGGCGGAAGUUCCGGUGUAGAGGUGAAAUUCGUAGAUAUCGGAAGGAACGCCAGUGGCGAAGGCGGCCGUCUGGACGAUGACUGGCACUGAGACGCGAAAGCGUGGGGAGCAAACAGG
rnacentral:rRNA from 1 species